UAGGGAAUCUUCGGCAAUGGACGAAAGUCUGACCGAGCAACGCCGCGUGAGUGAAGAAGGUUUUCGGAUCGUAAAACUCUGUUGUUAGAGAAGAACAAGGACGUUAGUAACUGAACGUCCCCUGACGGUAUCUAACCAGAAAGCCACGGCUAACUACGUGCCAGCAGCCGCGGUAAUACGUAGGUGGCAAGCGUUGUCCGGAUUUAUUGGGCGUAAAGCGAGCGCAGGCGGUUUCUUAAGUCUGAUGUGAAAGCCCCCGGCUCAACCGGGGAGGGUCAUUGGAGACUGGGAGACUUGAGUGCAGAAGAGGAGAGUGGAAUUCCAUGUGUAGCGGUGAAAUGCGUAGAUAUAUGGAGGAACACCAGUGGCGAAGGCGGCUCGCUGGUCUGUAACUGACGCUGAGGCUCGAAAGCGUGGGGAGCAAACAGG
rnacentral:rRNA from 1 species